rnacentral:misc_RNA from 1 species
CGGCGGCGGAUCAGCGCGCCCAGCGCGUCGCCUAUUACGAAUAUUGCGGGACCGGUCAUGGCCCGCGCAUCAGCGUCAUUCAGGAUCUCGACGGCGCGAAUAUCGGCUUCGGCGCGUUCUGGGGCGAGGUCAAUAGCUCGGUUCACAAGGCGCUCGGGUGCCUCGGCGUUGUCACCGAUGGAUCGAUCCGCGAUAUUCCCGCAUGGGCGCCGGGAUUCCAGGCGCUGGCCGG